GAUGAACGCUGGCGGCGUGCCUAAUACAUGCAAGUCGAGCGAAUGGAUUAAGAGCUUGCUCUUAUGAAGUUUGCGGCGGACGGGUGAGUAACACGUGGGUAACCUGCCCAUAAGACUGGGAUAACUCCGGGAAACCGGGGCUAAUACCGGAUAAUAUUUUGAACUGCAUGGUUCAAAAUUGAAAGGCGGCUUCGGCUGUCACUUAUGGAUGGACCCGCGUCGCAUUAGCUAGUUGGUGAGGUAACGGCUCACCAAGGCAACGAUGCGCAGCCGACCUGAGAGGGUGAUCGGCCACACUGGGACAGAGACACGGCCCAGACUCCGACGGGAGGCAGCAGUAGGGAAUCUUCCGCAAUGGACGAAAGUCUGACGGAGCAACGCCGCGUGAGUGAUGAAGGCUUUCGGGUCGUAAAACUCUGUUGUUAGGGAAGAACAAGUGCUAGUUGAAUAAGCUGCACCUUGACGGUACCUAACCAGAAAGCCACGGCUAACUACGUGCCAGCCGCCGCCGUAA
rnacentral:rRNA from 1 species